rnacentral:rRNA from 1 species
AUUGAACGCUGGCGGCAGGCCUAACACAUGCAAGUCGAGCGAGCGGCGGACGGGUGAGUAAUGUAUGGGGAUCUGCCCGAUAGAGGGGGAUAACUACUGGAAAAGGUAGCUAAUACCGCAUACUGUCGGAUGAACCCAUGUGGGUUUGGCUAGUAGGUGGGGUAAUGGCUCACCUAGGCGACGAUCCCUAGCUGGUCUGAGAGGAUGACCAGCCAAACUGGAACUGAGACACGGUCAAGACUCCUACGGGAGGAAGCAGUGGGGAAGAUUGCACAAUGGGCGCAAGCCUGAUGCAGCCAUGCAGCGUGGGUGAAGAAGGCCUGCGGGUUGUAAAGCACUUUCAGCGAGGAGGCGUUACUCGCAGAAGAAGCACCGGCUAACUCCGUGCCAGCAGCCGCGGUAAUAC